UCGGAUCAGCGCCACCUGGUGCGACACAGAGCAGUUUUGAUGAAUAGUUGCGCUUUUGGGUGCUUUGACGAUGACCUUGCAGUCGGUAGGGUCGAGUUCCACUGGACAAGUGUUGACGGAACUUGGCAAAUCUCGACACGUCAUUGCAAAGUGUCUCGAAACAGGUAAGGUAGUUGUUAUCGACUCAGAAAUCUAGGUCCCAUCGAAGUUUUUGAAAAAUACGCCGUUGGAUUGAGAGGAAGUCUCUCGCUUCUUCCUUCAUAUAACCAGUGAAUCUCUUUUGCAGCAGCAAGUGAAUUUGUCUUCACAUCAGCGUUUUUGCAGCUAGCGUAGAAAUACUGAGUUUCGAGACGGAUGUUUGCUCUAUUGUGUGCCAGUACCGUUUUGCAUUUGUCUCCUUGGACUUUUGAGGUGGUCGCCUUCUUUCUCGUGGCUGGUGUCCAGAUUAUGUUAAGACGAAGUGAAGUCUCAGCAGGAAGUCAAAGCAUCGGGUUCGUGCUUGGAAUUUAUGCGUUACUUGUGGAACUGGUGUUGCCGUUUUGCUUUCUGUGCAUAGGUCUGUUCUCGGCAAUCCCCACUCACAGAAUUCAAGUCGAUCACUGUUCUUUGUAAGUCAUCGUGACUUAGUUGAUUAUUGAACAUAACAUACCCUUCCCCAGUAAGAUGGACAAGAUGCUACGUAGAAGUCACGCAUGGGUGGAGACUGCUCCUCCACAGCUCAUCACGGUGCGACGACGCGCUCUGCGGGAGCUUCCGCUGGACACAAUCCUCGAGGAAGGAAUAAGCGUAGCGGGGCACUUUCUUUGUGAAGCGUCCGCUGCAGAUCAGAAUCUUCGACCUACGCAGAGAUCCAGUUGGGUGGAUCUCGCCGGCUCUACCAGCUCCUCCAGCCUUCACCAACUUCUUCCUGCCAUAGCUUUCGCACAGUGAUUCUCGAGGUCGACGAGACACGACUCUGAAGGUUUGCAACAACGACCAUGAAGGAGCCCGAGUCGUUGGUUUCUACUUCGAUGGACCGACCACAUCACUUGCUCGUGAUUCUUACCCAGUGUCACGCAUUUGUUCGGGCCUGGAGUUUUUUUGUAAAUCAGAACAGCCACAGCAACUUAGAAGUGAAAGCUCGCUUGAUCGAUUGUUGCGCGAAGCGCUCCGUUCGUAGAAGCUUGGAUGCAGGUCAAGAGUGCUUGGAAGGACCCACAUCUUUUCUCGGAUGGAUUUGAACGUGAAUUUCUUACUAGGUAUGUGAUACCAUUACGAAAGAAUGUACUUAAUGAUCCUCCUAGUAGAACUUGCGCAAUGGAGACUUUAGAAUGUAUAUAUUGUGCAAAUACUUGCACAAAUUGGAAAAAUUGUAAAAUAAUGAAUGGUUUCUGGUAAAACUUCGCCUGGACCUUCUGCGUCAUCUCUUGUCUGGGAUUAUGCCUGCCCAAUUGAUAAUGGUUUUCAGAGAUGAGCCAUUAAAUACUGAAUGUUAUCAAGGCUGUUAUUUAACGGCCUCCUUUCAAAGCCAGCAUCUAUCGAGUUUGAGUCUCAACAGCAUGUAACUAUCACAACCCUCUGACGCCGAGAGUGUUGAGAAUUUGGGAACUUCCACAAAACAGAAACGGACCACUGAACACGUCCCAAUGCCUUGCCAGUACAUCAUGUAUUUACCACGCAAGAUUCAUGACCAUCGAUGUUCCUCGAAUCUCGUUCAGGACGUGUUCAGAAUUUUCAUGGGGUUACUUGGAUUUCAGCUACAAAUGUGGAAAUCCUAAACCCUGAAGUUUCAGGAUUGGACUUCGUCAGUCAUUCAUGGGACAGAGUUCAG
rnacentral:lncRNA from 1 species